rnacentral:lncRNA from 1 species
CGAAGUGUGAUUACAAAAUCAUUGUAAACCUACUGCUUACAUCAUUGGACUGUAUUUCAUAAUGAAGUCACUCAACAUGAAGAAUAGACCUGGUGACUCUCCUGGAACUAAAAAAUCGGAAAACCUGCAAAGGUCACUGCUUCCUCUUUCCUGCCGGGGCUGUCUAUGACAGGUUGUCCUGGCCCAGAGUGAAGAUGGAAAGAAGGACUAUCUUACAGAGAUGCAAAGAAGAAUCUGCCAAGCAUCCGACUGAACCGCACUGGCAGUUUAUUCCUAUGAUGUCAAACAUAUUUAUCAAACAUACCCCUAAAGCACAAUAUUCUCUUGAGUCAUUUUGAUCUUUAAGGUUUCUAUUGCAAAAAAAAUGCUUUGACUAAAUAUAUUUAUGUCUA